CUGGAGACCCCCAAGGGGAAGCGAAGACCCUAUAGAGCUUUACUGCAGGCUGUCGCUGAGACGUGGUCGCCGAUGUGCAGCAUAGGUAGGAGACACUACACAGGUACCCGCGCUAGCGGGCCACCGAGUCAACAUUGAAAUACUACCCGUCGGUGACUGCGACUCUCACUCCGGGAGGAGUACACCGGUAGCCGGGCAGUUUGACUGGGGCGGUACGCGCUCGAAAANCGAAAAGAUAUCGAGCGCGCCCGAAGAUCAUCUCAGCCGGGUCGGGAAUCCGGCGAAGAGCGCAAGAGCACAAGAUGGUCUGACAGUGUCAUUCCCAACGAGUGACGCUGACGCGAAAGCGUGGUCUAGCGAACCUACGAGGCUCCGGAAUGGGGCCCGUAGAUGACAGAAAAGCUACCUUAGGGAUAACAGAGUCGUCACCCGCAAGAGCACAUAUCGACCGGGUGGCUUGCUACCUCGAUGUCGGUUCCCUCCAUCCUGCCCGUGCAGAAGCGGGCAAGGGUGAGGUUGUUCGCCUAUUAAAGGAGGUCGUGAGCUGGGUUNCCUCCAUCCUGCCCGUGCAGAAGCGGGCAAGGGUGAGGUUGUUCGCCUAUUAAAGGAGGUCGUGAGCUGGGUUUAGACCGUCGUGAGACAGGUCGGCUGCUAUCUAUUGGGGGUGUCAAGGUACUUGACGUGAACGAACGUAUAGUACGAGAGGAACUACGUUUGGUCGCCACUGGUGUACCGGUUGUGUGAGAACGCAAUGCCGGGUAGCCACGCGACACGGGGUAAGAGCUGAACGCAUCUAAGCUCGAAACCCACAUGGAAAAGAAGUACCGAUGAGGUCACUCGUAGAAGACGAGUUCGAUAGACUCGGGAUGUACGCACCGAGGCAACGAGGUGUUGAGUCCACGAGCACUAACAGACCGAAGCCA
rnacentral:rRNA from 1 species